rnacentral:rRNA from 1 species
GACAGAGGUGCCAAGCGUUAGGCGGAAUCACUGGGCGUAAAGCGCACGUAGGCGGACUGUUAAGUCGGGGGUGAAAUCCUGGGGCUCAACCUCAGAAUUGCCUCCGAUACUGGCAGUCUCGAGUGCGGGAGAGGUGAGUGGAAUUCCCAGUGUAGAGGUGAAAUUCGUAGAUAUUGGGAAGAACACCAGUGGCGAAGGCGGCUCACUGGCCCGUAACUGACGCUGAGGUGCGAAAGCGUGGGGAGCAAACAGG